UACUUGUCUGUGUGUUUUUAUUCUUAAGUAUGAGACAAUGCUACUGAAGGUUUUGGUUUGGCUGGUAAAAGGGGAAUGAUCUACCCUAAACGGUUAUAGAGAGUCAUUUUCAUAAAAGAAAAAGUUAAGAAUCAGAUUCUCUGCUCUGCAAGUCAAAAUGUACUUGAGUUAUGUGAGCCAAAUGAUUAGCAGAAAAUUAAAAGUUUAGUGAAAAGUUGAAAACUUUAGAAUGUUGCUGAAAUGGGGUGUGAGUGUACACCCGCACCCAAAAGAGUAUAAACAUACUUAUAGAGUGUACUUGUACAAUCCAAAUGUGCACAUGCACAGUUUGGAUUUGGAGAUCAAGAAAUGAAAGACUUGUUGAGGUUUCUUUUAUUACCAAAACAUAUACCUUUUUGGUUCUUUACCCAUGUUCAUGUUCCAAGGCCGUUCGGACGCCUCUCUGAAAUGUCGCGUUUCAUAAACCAGAUCAUGUUCAGAUCUGUGUAGUAGCAAUUUAUGGUGCUGUCAAAAUGAACUGCAAAAAAGUAACUGCAUAUAUUGUGCUAGUAUUAUAUAUUCUCUAUGUCAUUGAAUUGAAAACAUGAGUUGAAUUUUAUCACCAAAAAUUAAAACUUUUUGGAACAGAGUUUGCACUGUGGCACCAUAAAAGGCUGCUAAAAUAGUGUGUGUGAUUGCAUGAAGAUUCCAGACUGCUGUGAUUAUGUGUGUGCUGUUAUGUGCAUGGAAGAUGACGAUGUUUUUUAGCAUGGAAAGUUAGGUCAUAAUGCAGCUGUUUUUCAAUUUUAGAAACCUUUGCCAGUCAAUUAAUCCCGGAGUGUGGAAUGAGAAGACUGGCUUAGACAUACAGGUAAAUGUAUGAUGAUGACGAUGAUGAUAAUGAUAGUGAUGACAGUCAUCAACUAUCAACUCUCUUCUGUUUGACUUGUUAGGGAUUUCCACGACAGCCCUAUGGGCAGGACUGUGGCAUCUUCAUGCUGAUGGAAAAUAAAAUAAUUUGUCAGAUCUAUUUCAUUAUGUCCUUUAAAUGUAUCUUAAAAUUAAGUCAUUCUUUUGUUUGUAGUAUGCCCUUUACACAGUUCUGGACGCUCCAUAUGAUUUCACCAUAGUGAGUUCACCUGCUCAUUCAAAAAAAGAUUGUAAAUUUAUUAUGUUUGAUCUUUUAUGAAAUCAGUAUGUCUGUAUGUUUUUGUAGACUGACAUGCCAACCCUGCGAAAAUGGUGGUGUGUCAUGCUCAUUGAAAACUUUGAUCUUGGAAGGCAGGACAUUAUAAUGUGAUUGACUAUUUGAUAUGGUAAUGGUAAAUGGACUUGCUCUUAUAUAGCGCUUUUCUACUCAUCAGAGUACUCAAAGCGCUUUUACAGCAAUUGCUCCCAUUCACACACUAAUGUGCAGAUUGCUAAUCAACCUGCAACAUCAGUCAGUAUACAUUCACACACCAGUGGAACAGUCACUGGUAGGCAAUUCGGGGUUCAGAAUCUUGCCCAAGGAAACUUCGGCAUGCAGCACAUGACAAGGCGAGAGCGGGAAUCGAACCGCCAACCAUUCGAUCAUUGGACGACCCGCUCUACCACCUGAGCCACAGCCGCCCCACAUUGUAUGCACAUUGUAAUGUCAUCUGUCUUGUUGUCUUCCCAUUCUCGUGCUUGUUGCCAGAAUUGCCUAAAAUUGACUGACUGGUCCAGACUGUUGCUGGGCAGCACCUGUAAAUUUAAUUGUUUUACGCUUUUUACCAAUUAUUAUAGCCAUGGCAAAAUGUUUGCCCAUUGGACACACAUGUCAAAAGCCCUUCUGGCAGGUGAAGUGCCACCAGUUUUUAGACUGAAGCGAAAACUGGAUGAGAUGACUGAGGCUGAGGAGAGGAAGAAAAUGUGCCACCAGGUAGAGACAACGGAACCAGCUCACCAGGUGGAGACAACUGAAGAAGAGACCAGGAUGGUGGGCCAAGUUGUGGCCCACUGCAAACAAGCAGCGGAAUGGGUGCAGAAGAACCCACAACUGUUUACAGCCAGGGUGGAGAUGCCAGAAAUUUUAAACAUGGACAGCAGAUCUAUUGAGGAGGCUCAACAGCAACUGGCAAACUUGUUCGAUGCCACCCAGGACAUUGAUGAUGAUGAGAGAGAAUUCAUUCUGGAGCCCUUCAAGUUUUUCUUUUACAACAUUGAGGAUAUGUUUGUCUUCUGUGAAGAGGUUAUGGAUAACCGACGCUACAUGGCAUACUGUGAAUUCAAAGACAAAUAAAAUGUUUGAAAGUU